rnacentral:rRNA from 1 species
CCUACGGGAGGCAGCAGUGGGGAAUUUUGGACAAUGGGCGCAAGCCUGAUCCAGCAAUGCCGCGUGAGUGAAGAAGGCCUUCGGGUUGUAAAGCUCUUUUGUCAGGGAAGAAAAGGCUACGGAUAAUACCUGUGGCUCAUGACGGUACCUGAAGAAUAAGCACCGGCUAACUACGUGCCAGCAGCCGCGGUAAUACGUAGGGUGCAAGCGUUAAUCGGAAUUACUGGGCGUAAAGCGUGCGCAGGCGGUUUUGUAAGACUGUCGUGAAAUCCCCGGGCUCAACCUGGGAAUGGCGAUGGUGACUGCAAGGCUAGAGUUUGGCAGAGGGGGGUAGAAUUCCACGUGUAGCAGUGAAAUGCGUAGAUAUGUGGAGGAACACCGAUGGCGAAGGCAGCCCCCUGGGUCAAAACUGACGCUCAUGCACGAAAGCGUGGGGAGCAAACAGGAUUAGAUACCCUGGUAGUCCACGCCCUAAACGAUGUCUACUAGUUGUCGGGUUUUAAUUAACUUGGUAACGCAGCUAACGCGUGAAGUAGACCGCCUGGGGAUACGGUCGCAAGNUUAAAACNCAAAGGAUUGACGGNNGAGAGACGACGACGACGACGAGGAGAGG